GCUCCUUAAAUUCCAAACUGGAGAGCUGCUGAAUAAAAAGCAAAAUUAUUAAUUAUUAAUUAAGACCAAUUGCUAACUCUCUGAGCUCUUUUAGCAAAUCAAAAUAAGAUGCCUAAAUGCAAUAGGUCCUGCUAUGACAUCCCAGCUACCCUGUUCCACUGCUGCUGGUGGAGAGAGUUCUGGACAGUAAUAUUUUAAUCUAUGGGUGACCUUUCUUUACAAUCAUUUAAACCAUAGGACUGCAGUUGUAGCUCUGUAUAGCAUGUAGCAAGUCAUUAUUUGGUAUAAACAAUGAAGGUCUUUUAAAAAAAUAAAUCACCCCAGCAUCCCUGCUGGAAGGGAACACGAAACCGGUGAUCAUUGCAUCCUUCCAUGCAUUAGUAUUCACUAAAUUUAAUGCAGAUUGUAUAUGACCCAAAACACAUAUGGUUUAUAGGUAAUCUGUGAUUCAGCAUCUCAGCAUUUAUUUACACACUAGAUGCUGCAACAUUAUUAAUUUCUGGCCAUAGGGCAGCAUUGGCAGGACAAACUAGUUAAGCUGUGCUAUGAGAGUAUGCUUUAGCAUAUCCAUUAGCGUCUGUAGAGAUGUCGAUUGUGAAAUCCCAGUGGCCCUCCUCCCAUUAUGACAGCCCCAGCCACCUGAACACUGUACUCACUCUGCCUGUAUAGCCUGCUCUUCAACAAAGCAGGCUACGUCAGAUAAUUCCAUGCUUGCUGGAGACUCCCUGUCAGUUUCUUCCAUCAAUCUGAAUCUGAUUUAUAGACAAAAACAUCAGUAACACAAAGUUUCUUGCCUGGCCCCAACCCAACUCAUACAACGUUCCUAAGCUCUAAGAUCAAUAGCACUUUUUAGAUAAGAACAAAUUUUGCAUGAAGUAACUAAAAUUCUAUAUUAGCUCAAAAUGUUUUGUACAAAAAGAAAAAAAAAAUAACACUCCAUUAAAACAUUAGCAGGGUAGAUAUCUGAAGCUGCUAAUUUAUUUUAUGAGUAAUCCAACACCACUGGUACAUGAAGAAAAAAUCUCAUGUAUUAUAUAAGAGGAGACAACUAGGAUAUAUUAAAGGACCAGUUAAGCCAAACAUGUUAAUUAUCUGACAGGAAAUAAUAUUUUUGUUUAUAGAAUGUACAGCAAUCAGCACCCAAAAAGCUAAAGUACAGUUUCCAAAUUACAAGUUCCUCAGCAGCAACUCACUGCUAGACAACAAAAUAAUCCUUAAGACACUUGACAGAACUUGUUUUUUGUCUGUGUUGGUGGCUUACAUAAAGAUGUUUAAAACUUGGAAGUAAUAAAGAAAUGCUGUCCACUU